GUGACCUAGGCCAGGCCCUUUAACCCACUGUGCCGGUUGGGGUGUUGCAGAGAUGCUGCUGCUCCUGUUGUGACAUAGCAGGAACUUCUUAAAUUACUACUGAAGCAGAAACUAGGGCAAUCUGGUACUCACUAUGGAUGACUACGACAGAGUAGCCUGAUGUGUAGUUACAAGGAAUGGAGUUGUUGAUAUUCAGUGAAAAACUUCAGGCUGAUUACUACUUAGAAGGCAGAGUUGCAAAUUGUGAUAAACCUUUUUGGUGGCAGCUGUUACCAAAUAAAUGACAACUUUCACAUGAGAACUUCUGAGCAUGGAAAGUAUUAAAAGUCAGAGACUUACUAAAAUGUAGGUUUGGACAAAGCCACAGUUAUCAUCUCUUCCAUCUUCUCAUUUGGUAAAAAGGAAACAGCUGCAGAAAAAUCUGCCUUGCUCACCAGCCAGAAGCAGAGUUAGCACUUGAAGCCACAUCCUCACAGUGCAUUUUAGAUGCAUCAGCUUUAAAAUAGAGGUGUAACCUCUUAAACUAGAAGAAAGCCUGUACAAUUCCUCUAAUGUCUUCAAAGAAAAUCUGGGGAGGGGUCAGUGUGCAAGAUGUGAAAUCUGUACACUCAGUUAACACCUACAAAGGAUUAUUUAAUAUAUGAUCCUGAUGAAAUUCGAAUCCAAUUCUGUGCUUUUUAGUCAACCCCAAAGGCUUAUUUUGAUCUUGAAGGGCAUCAGAGGUCCUCUUGUCCAAUUCUUUCAUUUCAAGGAGUAGGCUCUCUCUUAACUCACCUCCACAUGAGUUGUCCUUUCCAUUUCUUUAAAAACACUGCACUGACACUCAUGGAGGAUGAAUUAUUUAGACUGCUAGCUCUUCUCCAGAAUUCUCGUCUCUUCAUCCCAAUCAGCUGAGUUGUGCAUUUACAAAUGAUCUUGAACAUGCUAGUUGCAAUUGUUACUGACAUUUUGUACUUUCACUUUAGUAUUAAAUAUUCCUAUGGAAUAUGAAUGUGAAAUAAAGUAGAGUUGUUUCUAUAAAAAUUAAGUUGAAUAUUUUGGACAGGCUUGACAAAAGUGAGCUAUUUUUAAUAACAUGCUUGUCCAUCAGGGAAUUAAUGGAUCAAGAAAAUGGGGUGUGUAUACACAAUGGAAUAUUAUUUAGCUACCGAAGAGAAUUCUAUCGUAUGAUACAAUGUGGAUGAAUCUAGAGGACAUCAUGUGAUGUGAAAUGAGCCGGUCAGAUGAGGACAAAGAUUGUAUGAUUUCCCUUACAUGAGAUAUCCAAGGUAGUGAAACUGCUAGAAGCAGAAAGCAGAAUGACAGUUGUCAAAGGCUGGCAGAAGAAGAAGAGAGGGGGUUGUUGAUCAAUGGGUAUAAAGUUUAGCCAUGCAAAAUGAAAAAAAUCCUGAACACCUGAUGUACAACACUGUAUAUAAUAGGCACCUUAUAUGUGGUGUGGAAGGCACAUGAAAUUUGAACUAAAACUUGGGUUCAAAGCCUGGCUCUAUAAUAUCUACCUCAUUAAGCUGCCAAGAAUAUUAAAUAUUAAGUAACUUGACUCAAGGGAGAUAAUCAAUAAAUAUCAAUUUCUUCAAAUAUUGCAUUGAUUUACCAUGACAACUGACAAGUGGGUACUAUUAACCUUGUUUUAUUUCAUUUUAUUUUAUUUUUUUCCUUUUUUAGGGCUGAACCUGGGGCAAACAGAAGUUCACAGGCUGCUGUGAGCUGCAGCUGCUGGCCUAUGCCACAUCCAUGGCAGUGCAGUAUCUGAGCCGCAUCUGUGACCUAUGCCGCGGUUUGCAACCCACACCAGAUUCUUAACUCACCAAGCCAAGGCCAGCGAUCAAACCCACAUCCUCAUGGAUACUAGUCAGAUUCUUAACCUGCUGAGCCACAAUGAGAACUCCUACUCUUAUUUUAUAAUUACACAGCUAGUCAUUUGGAAAGACUGUGUACAAACCCAGGUCUUUCUAAAGCCUGAGCCUUUCUACUACAGGACACUGUUUAACUAUGUUCUAGUUCUGAGUGGGAUUCCAGUCUGAAUGGUUUAGCUAUGUUAAGUUGUAAAUGUACUGCCAAUAGCCGAAUGCAUUGAUAUAACUGCUGAAAAUGGACUGGACAGAAUUGUUUAGUGGUGUCCAUUUAUAAGUUGGCGAAUAUCUGCCAGAUGCAAUACUUUAAAUUUCCUUAGUGUUAAGUGUUUAUGCCUAGCUGUUUUUAUUGUGGGGGGGUCAAUAAUGACUUAUGUCCUGCUGUUUUUUAUUAUUAUUUUUGAUUUAGUAUACUUUCUGAUUUAAAAUGUAGUCAUAAUUCUAAUUUAAUUUGAAGCUUACAAGAAGAGAGUGUCAAGGGCACCAUCCUACUUUUCACCAGUAAAAGUUAGAAUUCAUGAUUUCUGUCCACUCUGACUUCAGGAGAACAUUUGCUCUGGGAUUUGAAGAAGCAUUAAAAGCCCGGUGUCAAUAAUAGAGUACUAUUGUUAUCAGCGGGUUUAUUGUUCUCCUUUUCCAAUUUGAAAAUCAUCCUGGUUUGAGAGGACAGAAACAGCCUAGAAAGUGAAUGGUGAUGACCUUUUCUUUCAACUUUGAACUCUGUAGUAUGCUUUCCAAGCAGUGAGAUGAUCACUCCUUUGUUCUCUCACUCUAAAAGUUGCAUUUGGAGUUCCCGUCGUGGUGUUGAACUUUGCUAUCUGCUUCAGUUUUGAGCUUCUGUGGCUAAGUAGUUUUAAAUUUUAAGUUUAGGGAGUUCCCGUCGUGGCGCAGUGGUUAACGAAUCCGACUAGGAACCAUGAGGUUGCGGGUUCGGUCCCUGCCCUUGCUCAGUGGGUUAACGAUCCGGCGUUGCCGUGAGCUGUGGUGUAGGUCACAGACGCGGCUCGGAUCCCGCGUUGCUGUGGCUCUGGCGUAGGCCUGCGGCUACAGCUCCGAUUCGACCCCUAGCCUGGGAUCUCCAUAUGCCGCGGGAGCGGCCCAAAGAAAUAGCAAAAAGACAAAAAUAAAUAAAUAAAUAAAUAAGUAAAAAAAAAAAAAGUUGAACUUAAAUGACUUGUCUUGAUUAAAUGUUUGAGCACUGUCACCAGCUUUUGUUCACACUACAUUUUAGUUUUUCUGUCACUAGUCCUAUGUUUGUACCACAAAGGUAAUUAAUUUUCUUGGUGUCCCUUCUCUAUUUUUCUCAUAUUCCUUUAGCUUCCGAAGGUGCAUUCCAAUGAUUAAAGACCCAGAAAACCCCAAAUCUAGAAGUAUCCUCUAAACCUGGAGUUAUCCUUCCCUGUUUUGACAUCCCCAUUUGCAUUUACUAUGGCAUUGGUUAUAAUUUACAGAAUAUUUGCAAAUUCCUUGAAGGUACUUUUGUAAUCUUAAUUUUUUUAAAAAUUUUAUUGGUGUAGAGUUGAUUUACAGUGUUGUGCUUGUGAAUUGGUUAUACAUAUACAUAUUAUACAUUCUUUUUCAUAUUCUUUUCCCACAUAGGUUAUUACAAAGUGUUGAGUACAUUUCCUUGUGCUAUACAGUAGGUCCUUGUUGAUUGUCUAUUUUCAUAUAUAGUAGUGUGUAUAAAAAUAGUUUUAAAUUUUGAUGAAUCUCAAUAUGUAUCAUUAAUCAGUUUCUGAUGAAGCAAAUGACAAGCAAAAAUAUAAAUUCACUAUAAUAGGCCAUAUUUCAUUCUGUGUCAAGGGCAUUUUACAUUAAAUUGACGCAUACCUUGAGGGAUAUCCCUUUGUCAUAAAACCAACUAAGCCCUUCCUAGAGACAAUAUUUUCCUUUUUCUGAGCUGCUUUAAUGGCCAUGUCCUUCUUUAAGUGGCAUCCUCAGAAAGAAGGGUGAAUAAGCACCAUUUGGAAGGUCCUCUGCUUUAGGCAUUGCACUGCCAUUUCGGAAUUCUAUGAAUACCUUCAUUUCAUAAAUGAUAUAAUUAAAAAUCAGCAUGGCUUAAGAAACUUUCUCAAGAUCACUAAGAGGCAGAACAGGGAUACAAAUAAAAGUUCAUUUCAAGUCAAAGUCUGUGCUCUUCCACUACGAAGACCCUCCUUGACACUUACCCUCUGCAUUACUAAGAUGGAUGUGACUUCUGGUAAAGCCGUUGGGAAUAAUUUGUAAAAUUGAUUUGUGUUCUGCCUUAUUCUAGAAAGGAUUUAAGACAAGGGUGAAACACAAUCAUGCACUCUGAUAUGGUGGGGAAAAAAUGAGUUUUAGGGAGUUUCCACUUUGGCGCAACAGAAACAAAUCUGACUGGUAUCAAUGAGGAUGCGGGUUCGAUCCCUGGCCUCACUCAGUGGGUUGGGGAUCCAGCAUUGCUGGGAGCUGUGGUGUAGGUCGCAGACAUGGCUCAGAUCCUGUGUUGCUGUGGCUGUUGUGUAGGCUGGCAGCUACAGCGCCAAUUCAACCCCUAGCCUGGGAACUUCCAUAUGCUGAGGGUGUGGCCCUGGAAAAGCAAAGAAAAAGAAAUGAGUUUUAAAUAUUAUACAGCUUGAGUUUAAAUUCCAGGACUCCUAUUUGAUAGCUGUGAGGAAUCUGUUUCCACAUUAAUAAGAAGGAAUAAGACUACCUAUUCUAAGUGCUGUUGUGAACUACAGGAAGUAACAUGUAAAGCCCCUGGCGCAGUGGCUGGCACCAAGUAGAUCGUAUGUAUCAGUUCCCUCUUCAUUCUACCCUACCCUUUGACCAUGAUUUGCCUCCUUCAAGGGGGUGGUCCCAUUUGAAAUCAGAUUAGCUCUACAUUUCCCCAUUGACAAUUACUAUAAAGUUAACUGUUAUUUCCCCACAUGUGUGAACAACUAUAAGUCCCAUUCCAAGGAAAGAUUUUCAGUGACCAAAUCCUUCUUGCUACAUAAGAUGGAGCCACAUUACCAGCUUGGGAUUAAGCUUGAGUAUCAGCCUUUAUAGGGUGCUCAGACACUUAUUGACGUAUACUAAGAUGCAGGUAACUAACUGACACUAUUUUAUAAGACACUGAAUUUGAACAUUUAUAGCAACCCUACACAAUCUGCAUGCCCCUUUAACAUCGAUAUCAUUCAUCUAUUUAAUGACAGAGCAUUUAUUGGGCACCUACUAUUUGCCAGGCACCAUGCCAAGAACCUAUGUGAUGAUAAGGAAUGAACAUAAGGCAGGCAAGGUGUUGUUAUCCAGAAACCACCUGUCUUGAAGUGGGGGAAGAAACAGAGAUGUAAGUUAAUGCUGUAACUCAAAAUGAUAUGUGCUUAUACUAAGUUAUAUUAAAAGUUCUAAUAGAUCAAAGAGAGUGUUUCACACAUUUAUAACACUAAAUCCUCUUCCAACUCAAAAUUAAUACCAGUAACAAGGGCAAAUGUAAUGUAUCUGUUGAGACAGUAAAAAUAUCUAUGAUUAAUAUUCCCAUAGUAAAAUAUUUACAUAAAUUGUAUCAUUAAAAGAAAAGAACAGACCUCUUCUCUUUCUAAGAACAAUGCAAAGACAGAAAUUGGGACAUUCACUAAAUCUGACUUUGCUAAAUGAUCUUAACUUUACAAAAAAGACAGGGAUUUUUCAUUUAACCAAGAACAUCUUAUCAACAAACAAGCAAGCCUAAGCUGAAUAAACAGUAUUUGGUUAUUCUUUAACUUCUGUAAUUAUUGUUUAAUAAUUUCUCAUAUAUAAGUCCAGCUUUACAUUUUUUUUUCUUUAUUUUUGUCUUUCACUGAUUAAUCUAGAUUGUCAUGGAGGCUGUUCACUGGCAGUAAUGAAGAUAGUUGCAUGGAAAGAACAGGAGGAAAGUGGUUUAAAAAGACUGUUUCAAAGAUGGGCCAUCAGCAUAUAUGUGUUUUCCAGGCUAGAAAAUUUUAUAGUUAAAAUAAUGCAAAGAAUUUUGGUUUAAAAAUCACUAGAGAAUUAGGUGAGAGAUUUUGAUAUCAUCUGAGGACUUUUUCCCACCUCGGGGAUGAUGAAGAAAACAUCAGGAAAGUUCAGUAAUUAGUCCAUGCCAUACCAGUAAGUGACUGGGACAAUGACACCCACUUGUGAAUGAGACUUUCGAGAAGCACAAUCAGAAAACAAAAAAUGCAUAUCGUGAAUAUGAUAAAACACCAAGGGGCAAAAGGAAGCAAAUAGACAUGGUUCAAAGAAGCUCCCAGCAAAUGGUGUGCCACAGUGCUUCCUUCAAACUUUUAUUUUGAUGUUUAGGUUUCAUCGGGUCUCUAGAAUAUAAUUGACGUUUGCUCAGAGCACCUAAUAUGACAGGGUUCAAAUGAAGACUCGAUGCCAGACUAAGAGGAUGACAAGAAAACCUCGUUAAAAAUACUCAUUUACUUGUUAACAGAGUUUUUCUCUGCAGUUUUUCAUGCUGCCCUCUAGGAUUCAUUUUUAUUUAUUGCCUCCUAAGGUUCCACAUCUUUUAUGACAGUCUUCUCAUUCAUGUUGCCCAGAAACAAAAAGGCCCGGGGUUUCCUGACAUUGGUGCUUUUAAGAUAUGCUCUAUUCCCCAGUUUUGAGCAAAAGUCA
rnacentral:lncRNA from 1 species